rnacentral:rRNA from 1 species
UACGAAGGGGGCUAGCGUUGCUCGGAAUCAUUGGGCGUAAAGGGCGCGUAGGCGGCCCGGUAAGUCAAAGGUGAAAUCCCUCGGCUCAACUGAGGAACUGCCUUUGAAACUGUCGGGCUUGAGGCCGGGAGGGGGUGGCGGAAUUCCCAGUGUAGCGGUGAAAUGCGUAGAUAUUGGGAGGAACACCAGUGGCGAAGGCGGCCACCUGGACCGGUUCUGACGCUGAUGCGCGAAAGCGUGGGUAGCAAACAGG